CAGGACGCAGGCAGAGUGGGUGAGGGCAGUGGGGACGUGGGCUCCUCCUCCCUGAGCAUCACCUGUCACCUUGCACAGCCUGCCCACCUCCCUCUGCGUCCUUAAUUUGAGGGGUGAGUGGGGAGGAACCGGCCUUGGCUGAUGAGGUGAAGAAGGGGUUCUCGGAAUUUGUGCAAACAAAUUUCCUCUGCUCGUGAAUUUCGAAAAGCCAACAAGCUGUCAAAUGAGCUGAUAUCAAACUCAGGGCCCCUGGGGACUCAUCAAGCCUCUGCCAGUGCCUUGUAGUUCAUUCUCAUUUCCAUCAGGAGGAAUGGCCACAGCCCAGCACAGUUCUGUGCAAGUGGGUGUGUGUGUUUAACAAUGAGACUUGGCCCCCGAGGAAAGAAGUUGCCAACACAUGCAGAUCUCCACUAGCUUAUGUCACCUCUGCCUGCACAGCACCACAUGCGUGGCCCCGCCUGCCUCCCAAAAUAAUGGGAUAAUUGGGUGAAACAUGCGUCACCCCCACCCCAUAGAGAGAGCACGUCAGCUGGUCUUUGUGGAAUCUACGGGGAGCAGGCCGAGCCAAACACCAGUGUCUGCCUUAUCCUUGAUUGCAUCUGUGCCCUACAAACCCCAACAGCGUUGAACUUACAUCUCCUCCUAAUUAGGGGAGAAAGGAAGACAAGAAUGAUAGCAGAAGAAUUUCUUCCUGCCUCUGACGGCAAGCUCUUCGGGGACAGAACGUUAAGCUCUCCCUCUGCCUGCCCGCCGCGUUCUCUCUCCUGACCUAUACCUGGAGAACCUAACACAGUGCCAGGCCCUCCCUGGGACCAGAGCCUGUGUGUGAUGUGAGUGAUGAACAGGGGCUGGGUGGAAAAGCCAGACCCUGCCUGGGGGCUUGUCUCUGUCUGCUGGUCUGCUGUGAGGCAGUGCAGAGCAGUGGCUGGUGGGGGGCGGCUGCAGUCUGGGAGGCCUCAAGCCAGACAUGUGGGGGCUGG